rnacentral:lncRNA from 1 species
UUGAGCUACAGCAAACAUUCGAUUUUCAAACUAUGCUGACGACACUGUGAAUGGUAAUGUUAAAAUUCAAUUGAUCAUCUUGUACAAGAUAGAGUGAACUUCCAUUAAGUUUGAACACGAUUUUAGAAAGAGCUUAGAAAGAGUGUAUUGCAAUUUAUGAAAGAUAUCUUCCAUACGAAAAUAAUAACAUGGUUACUUAUUCAACUUCUGAACAAAUGCCAAGUCUUCAAGCAUGAAAUUGAUAUGAAAAAAGACACAAGUUCACUCUCUUUGAGCCAUUAAUGAACUUCUUCUGUCCUUCCUGCAAAUAGAGCAAAAUAAAUAAUUACUUCAUGCUUAAACAACACUUGUCAUUUCUUAAAUAAUAUUCACCUCCUCCAAGAUCAUGAGAACAUCAUACGUUCCACGUAAGAUGGCCAAAAAAGAACUGAGAUUUCCCCCUCUAUCCUUCUCAAAAAGGACAGUAUACUUAUUUUUGCAUCGUACCCAAGCACGCUACAAACCCUUCCAGUUGUGCAAUAUCAAGUAAUCAAAGCCAACUCAUAUAAGUGAUUAAUGGUGGAUAAUCAUGUCUCAAAGCUCAAAGCCAAAGGUGCUAAAGUAUUCUACCCAAUAAUGUAAAUGAGAAAGUUCAAAUAUCAAUGCAAUUUAAAUCAACAUAAAUCCAAUAUCGUAUUCACCAUUAUAUGAAUUUCUUGAUAUUUUGAAUGCACUCAAUAUCUUCCGACCCCCCCCCAACCCCCGCCCAAAAAAAAAAGCACUAAGGAAUUAGAGUUUUCUGACAUCCAAGUAUAAUAUAUGAAUGCAUCCAAGUUCUUGCACUUAUUAUCACUUUUCCCAGCUGUUCCAUGUGGUAAUAGAGUUAGUACUUCUCAAUUUAAUUGGAGUAUGAUUUAUAUUCAUCUUUGAGCUAUCUAAAUGACACGACCCGUCCCGAAUCAUCCUAAUAAACCCGACACGUGUCGUGUGCAGAUGGUAGAUACCAGUUAAGUGCCGGACCUACCAUCAAGGCAACAUUGACUUGUAUUGACUAUGAUAUGCUUUGUAAAAAUUUUGGCAGAGUUCCUCCUGAAUUAUAGACUAAAAUCACCUGAAAUAUAUAAUCCAAUAUCCCAAACAGAUACAUGUAGCUUAAAAUAGGGUACACUGGCUCACAGAAAAUCAACUAUUCAAAUACAACACUGGCAAUUUGACCUUUGCAACAAUUUAUAAACCAUAGUACCCAAAAUGCAUAAUAUAUACAAAACAUAGCAGGCCCAAAAUAUGGAACUAAUUUCUAACCAAAAGAGGUAUCUAUUCCAAAAUAUGAGCUAUUACCCUGAUAAGAUGAGUCAUACAAUGCUUGACAAUUUAUAGUUCAACUUGAUAGAUCAAUUGGCCCAGUAGUGCUCAGCUCAGCUACUAUCUAUCUGAUAAGGAAAAAGGGUAAAAGCAAUAUGAGCUAAUAGCUCGGUGAGUGGAUAAUUUGCAAAUAAGUAAACUUUUUCCAUUUAUGCAUAUUUUCUUAAAAUUCUUGCUCUAUUAACACUAUGAGAAUUCUGAAAUCUGAUAAAACCUUUAGAACUAAAACAUGACUGCAUCAUAAGAUUCUUUGUUCUUUAUUCGAGAUAAAUAACUAUAAAGUAUAACAAAUUUUGGUACCCAUAAUAAUCUAUGAAAUAUUGUUGUUACUCAAUACUAUAAACUGAAAACUUUAUUCUUAGAACUGAAUAACUGAAUUCUAUAAUCUGGUCAUACAUACAUAGAGCUACAUUUACCUUAAUGUACUCAUUAUUCUUGAUGUGUGUAUCAUAACAUCGUAUAAACUCAAAAUUCUGGUACUAAAUCAUAAAUUAGACUCAAGUUGAUAUAUAAAAGAAAGAUGAUAAUAAUUAAUACAAGAUGAGUGAGAACAUUAGACAAACUCACUAAGCUAAAAUCAUCAUCCGAAAUCCAUAAGCUGAACUCUAAACGGGAAAAUGUAAGCUGAAAGCUAAUAAUCCACUAUAUACUUAAAAUUCACAUCAAAAUAUACUCCAUGUAAUCAUCUACUGAUGAUCUGAAAGCUAUAAAAUCAUAUGCACAUAAACCAUCUGAUCAACACUCUGUACACGACUGUAGCCCCUCAGUGUACAAGAUGAAAAUAACAUAAUCAUCCUUAUACACGGCUGUAGCCCCUCAGUGUAUAAUAGGUACCCUUACACACGGCCGUAGCCCCUCAGUGGAUAAGAGUUACCUUUAUACACGGCUGUAGCCUCUCAAUGUAUAGGAGUUAAAUACAUGACUCUAGUACACGGCCGUAGCCCCUCAGUGCACUAGAGUAAGAUAAUCACAUCAAUUAUUUAAAUGAUAAUUUCAAAACAAUCAUGUUCAUUUACUAAUUCUUGAAAAUAAGGUAUUUCAUGUAAUUAACAUGCUUUAAAAUAAAAAGGAAAUCUUCUUUUUGAAAACGUAGAUUUUCCACUCACAGAUCUAUAAAUAGCAAUCUGGUUCAAUUUUACCAGCCUUGCCCAACUUUCACGUUACCACCUGAAAUACGAUAUAAAAUAACUAAUUUAACAACUUCCAUACUAAGUAUUUCUUAAUACUAGUAAACGAAUGCUAAAACUUGACUUCUCGAUACUUCAAUAAUAUUUUCCCCAAUUUCCUUUAAUCACUUCAAACUAAUUCCACUUUCUAGUCCAUUUCUUAAUAGCUAAUUCAUUACAAUAAUUUUCACUUCAAACAUAAAAAUAAUUCCUUCUUCCAAACUAGUAAAAUUAAUAAUCAUAAUUUAACCAAUUUAAUUUCCCAUCUUGAUCCAUAAAUUCAUGCCUUCAAAUGAGUAUUUCAUCCUUACAAAUUUUCCCGUUAACUAAACUCAUUCAAAAACCCAAAUGAAAAUUCUAGGGUUUUGCCCAAAAUUGGUAUUUCUUACCUUAGUGUAAAUAGCAUCUCCAAUUCAAAAAUAUUGACUUGAAAACAUAUAUAUUCCUUCCUUAAAAUCUGAAAAUUAAACAAAUAAAAUCAAAACUCUAAAAAUUUAAGCAUAAAAUAUACCAUAUCUUUUAAAGAAAUUAGACAAAUUGAAAAUGAAAUUGGAAUAGCCACUACCUCUUUUCCUUUCUUUUUCCUUUCCUUCCUUUUCUUCUUUUUCUUCUUCUUUUUCUUCCCUCUUUUCUUUCCCUUUUUCUUCUUCUCUGCCGGUUCUUUCUUUCUUCUAGCGUGUGUGUGUGUGUGAUUUAUGAGAGAAAAAGUGAUGGUCAAAGGCAUUAAAAACCCACUAACUCCAAAUUGCAAGAAAAGUCCCUCUUCUCUAAUAAGAGCUAACAUUUAAAUCCUAAACUUCCCAAAAAUGUAUAAGUAAAUUUUCAACUUCCAAUUGUAUCCAAU